rnacentral:misc_RNA from 1 species
CGCAGCAUAUUAUGGAGGACUUGCCAUGUGUGUAGCGUCUAGUGCUCAGUUGUGAGGAGAGAGGCAGAGGAGGAGGAGCUGCCAGGCUCGACGCUCUUCAUAUUUGUGUUCUCUCACAACCCAUAACAAUGACACGAGGUUGGUGGUGUAGGAGCGUGGCGUGCAGCCUCGUCCUCAUCUCGUACGUAGCCGCCUCGUAUAUAUCAGAGGAGUGCAUUGUGAAGGGCUUGAACGUGACGGUGGACGAGGCGAAGUCAGUAGUGAACUACACUUCUAUCCUGGCCAACUCCAGCAGCUGUUCUUCUAAACUAUGGUGCGACUCAAAAUCCAGUCAACUUGUAAUCAACACGAGAAAGAGGCCUUUUUGGACGACCGUUAAGCUUAGUGAUAGCCUAUGUCUGCAAGCCGGAGGUUCAGUUUACCUGAAGUGUGGUCCAGUGAGGUCCCAGGAGGUGAAGCUGCCGCUCUACCCGUUCAUCCCCAGUGUCAGAUUUAUAAACAACAGCAGCCUGAAUGUGAUGAUACCAAGGAAGGAGGGGGGACAGUGGAGGGUGACUGUGACUGCUGCCGGGGUGGUCGAAGAGGUUGUAGCGGGCGCCAACUUCUCGCUCAACAACUUCUCGCUCAACAACAUACUGGUAGUCAGUGGCAAUCUGACCUGGCUCAAAUGUUAUGACAUAUAUGUGAAGCGAUGUCUGAGAAUUGGCGGGAAGUCAUGUUGCAGAGAGGUUGUGGUGAGGGAACGGUGCAACAAUGAUACUAUUGGUGUACCUCACAGCCUCAUGCCUCAUACCAGGACCUCGGUUAUCGCGGGCGUAUGUGUUGGAGUGUAUGUUGUGGUGGUGGUGAUGGUACUGGCGGUACUCAGCUUCCAUCACCGGGUCACCAAGCAGCCCUCCUUAACCUUGCCCGCCCUCUGGGAACAUGAAGAAGUGCUGCUGGUCCACACGAAGGAGUCUGACGAGCUCACGCACCUGGUCAACGAUCUAGCUGGAGACAUCCUCACUCACACAAAUAUUAAGGCGGUACAUGACAUCUUCAGUACGAGCGAGCCGGAGGUAUUGGCGAGCCCCCAGUCCUGGGUCCUUGGGAAGCUGUGUAGCCAACACUCUACCACUGUGGUCCUCGUCUCCUCGCCUGGCCUCUCUAAUGUGAUGUACCUCAAGAUGAAAGGUGUCACAGAUUAUGGGAUGAAGAGCGUAUUGGGCCGGGACCAUCACCCCUGCGACUCUCUCCUCAACACCUGCCUCGACUACAUGCUCCACACUCACACUCUACAGGACCCCAGGCGUGUCCUUGUCGUCAGGUGAGUCACUACCUGCUCCACACUCACACUCUACAGGACCCCAGGCGUGUCCUUGUCGUCAGGUUGAGGGGCGUGGAGACUGCCGAGGCCUGGGAGCGACCAGCCUGGGCGACAGGUCACCUGGGGCCCAGCGUCGUCUACACCCUCCCUGACGACCACACUCAACUCUGGACAGCCCUCAACA